AGGAUGAACGCUGGCGGCGUGCCUAAUACAUGCAAGUCGAGCGGAAAGGCCUCUUCGGAGGUACUCGAGCGGCGGACGGCUGAGUAACGCGUAGGAACGUACCCCAAAGUGAGGGAUAAGCACCAGAAAUGGUGUCUAAUACCGCAUGUGAUCUAAGGAUUAAAGCUUCGGCGCUUUGGGAACGGCCUGCGUAUGAUUAGCUUGUUGGUGAGGUAAUGGCUCACCAAGGCUUUGAUCAUUAGCUGGUCUGAGAGGAUGAUCAGCCAGACUGGGACUGAGAACGGCCCAGACUCCUACGGGAGGCAGCAGUAGGGAAUUUUCCACAAUGGGCG
rnacentral:rRNA from 1 species